GCAAACUUGGUCAUUUAGAGGAAGUAAAAGUCGUAACAAGGUUUCCGUAGGUGAACCUGCGGAAGGAUCAUUACUGAAUAAAGUGUGGUCGGGGUUGUUGCUGGCAUCCUUGUAUGCACCGUGCACACCUCGGCUGCCCUGUUGUCAUUCACCCUCUCCACCUGUGCAUUUUCUUGUAGGCCAGAUUGCCAUUUGCUGGUGUUCUCCUCUGAACGCUUUGCUUUUUUGGGACUUGCUGUUGCAGCUCUACAUUGCGACAGCUCCUCUCGUAGUUGGCCCAUCUGGUCUAUGCACCUUUUACCAAACCCUCUCGUGUUUUGUAUGAAUGUUACAUUAGCUUGUUUUAAAGCAUGUAUGCACAACUUUCAACAACGGAUCUCUUGGCUCUCGCAUCGAUGAAGAACGCAGC
rnacentral:misc_RNA from 1 species